rnacentral:rRNA from 1 species
AAUUUAUAUCUUACUUUAUUUAUUUUGAUGUUAAUUGAAUUUAGAGAAAUAUCUUUAUUUUUAGUAUACUAAAGAACAAAAAAAUUUUGGUGAUAGUUUAUUAGUACUGUAUAGGAAUGAUGAAAUAUUUUGAAAAUUAAAUUUAUUUUAAGUAGUUUUUGUUUAAUGUACCUUUUGUAUCAGGGUUAAUCAAAUAUAAUUAAUUUAUUUUAUUUUCUCGAUUUCAGAAGAGCUAAAUUUAUAAUUUCUUUAAUGUAUCAUAAUUAUGGAGAAUAUAAUUUUAGGGGAGAAAUUCUAUUCGAUUUUAAAGGUAUCUAGUUUUUUAAGAAAUGAAUUUAAUUCAGUGUUAAUUGUUAUAUUAUUUAUUUUCCUUAAUAAUAUAUUAGUUAAUAAAAAGAGCUUAGGGGAUAAGCUCUAAGCUUAUUUUAAAAGCAUUAAUUUAUUUAAAUUGUGUAGGAUUUGUAACGUCCAUCAUUAAUUAGUACGUUAUAGUUUAAUUUAAUUAAAUUUGAUUUUUUAUUGUUUUAAUAUUUUAUUAAAAUUAGACGUUUAACUUUGUAUCGUUUGUAAUAAUGAUUAAAUUAGUAUAUGGUUGUUGUAAUUAUUUUAAUUGAAUGGCAUAAUUAAAUAAGGAACUCGGCAAAUAAACUCCCGCCUGUUUAUCAAAAACAUGUCUUCUUGUAUUGAAUAAGAAGUCUGACCUGCCCGGUGAAAUUAUUUUUAACGGCCGCGGUAUUUUUGACCGUGCAAAGGUAGCAUAAUCAUUAGUCUUUUAAUAGGAGGCUGGUAUGAAGGGUUUGACGAGGAGUUGACUGUCUCAUUUAAUUUUAUAAUAGAAUUUAACUUUUCAGUUAAAAGGCUGAAAUAUAGUUGGAAGACGAGAAGACCCUAUAGAGUUUAAUAUUUAAAAAUAUAUUUAUAUAUAAGAUUUAAUUUAUAUAUUUAAAUAUUUUGUUGGGGUGACAAAAAUAUAUAAUUAACUUUUUUAUUUAUUUAUCAUUGAUUUAUGUAUAUUAGAUCCAAUCUUAUUGAUUGUUAGAUUAAGUUACCUUAGGGAUAACAGCGUAAUCUUCCCUUGGAGUUCUUAUCUACGGGAAGGCUUGCGACCUCGAUGUUGGAUUAAGAUAAUAGUUAGGUGCAGUAGCUUAAUGUAUAGGUCUGUUCGACCUUUAAAUCCUUACAU